CUGGCACUCAGCAUUUUCUGACUAUAUGAUCACGAGGUACUGGCCAGACACUGAAGCAAUUUAAUACCUGUAGGUGCAUCGGUUCCCUGGACCUAGAUCCUAGUUCUAGAUGUUGACUGACUGAGCAAAGAACAAUUAAUAGUCAUUCCCCCUCUCUGAAAAUCAAAAAAUGUAUCAGAAGGAAUAAAAACCCUUCCUGGCUAUUGCAGCUAAUUAAUAAACAUCUUCUAAUAGGAUAAAUAAAAUAUAAAUACAGCAGAAAUACACAUUCAAAUGAAAUAGUUUAAGAAUUGAGAAAAAGAGCUGCUCUGCUGUCCUUAACUCUUAAAAUGAGGCUUUCAAGACUUUUAAGCAGCUGGUGACCAGAUAAUUCAGAUAUUUGCAGGCAGAAUUGCACACAGAAGUGAAGAGGAAUCUACUGCAAAGGCCUGAGCAACUGCAGCCUGUGGUGAUUCAUCCUACCCACAAGGCAAGCAGCUGUUUUCAGCAGAAUCUGCAGCUUUUGGGUGGACUCACUGGCCUGGUAUCCUUUCUCCUGCAAUGCUAUUAAAGUGAGUGGAAUUACAUAUGGGAUGAACUUGGCUCUUUAGGUGUGGGAGAAACCAUUUCCAGUACUGACAUAUGGAUAUUAGCACUUCUUUAUGCAGGGCUUACAGACAGGCUUUAGGAAUGUUUACAAGGUGGGAAGGACAAUGAAAGAACAUGUAAAAUCAUUUCACCCUGAUUCAUCUUUGGAAGGGACUUUGCAUGUGGAUCUCUCUCUUUUCAGCUGGCUGUUUCUGCCAGAACCCGUUCUUCCAAUUCUGAACCUCGUAUCCCUCCCACAGCAAGGAAUUUGGGCUCUGUCCAGUGGAAGACUGGGAAGAAUAUAUACAUUUCCUCCACACUCCCACAUGCUCCUAGUCUUGGGGACUAAGGAUAACACUGCUGAAAAGUGCAUGUGAAUGGAGAAAAAGUUCUCAGGAGCUGGUAUGAAACAGGACACCAGCAAAUCCUUGACAUGGGCUUUGCCCCAGUUCUAGGAACAAAAGCUCUCUCUCUCUUUUUAUUUUUUUUUAUUUUUUUAUUUUUUUUCCUGGCAAUCAAAGGAUGGCAAAUGUAUCCCACUUGUGGAAGGACUUUAAGCAAGUCAGGCCAGUCUCCCAUCAGCCACUGUGCCCAUACUACCCAACAAGAUAAUACAUCUCGUGAGUCCAUUUAAAUUGAGACAAUGAACUGAGUCAAGUACCGUAUUUUUAUACCUAGGGGACCAAUUGUCUUUCAAGGCUGCAGAAUUUUAAGAGCCAUAGCAGAGUUACACAGCUACUUGAACCAACAACUUUCUUUCACAGAUACAACAAUGCAAACAAGCUAUUUAUUGGACAGAGGAGCUGGCUGGACCAUAAAACUGCUCCCAGAAUACACCUCAUUUAACACAUUUGCUUCUUUUGCCAUAGGUUCGCUGCAAUCGAGAAGGCUGGUAUUGUGGUGAAGAGGUUUUAUUCAAACUUAUUUUACACUUUCACUCAUUAUAAAUGUAAGAUGUUUGCCAUUUCUGUGGUGUUAUAUCAUACACAUAGAAAAAUAGGGUGUGGGAAGGUCUCAACUGUUAAUGAUACAAAGGUACAGGGUCAUUCCUCAAUUAGAAGUUUUGCUUUGACAUAGAUGUGCAAACCAUUAUGCUUAACCUCACAGCAGAAUUUGGCCAGACAUUCUCAGAAAUUUGUCACAAUUAGUCUUAGUGUGUGAGGCACAGAAAACAUCUGGAUAUAUGGGAACAAUUUCAGAACAUUAUUCUCUUCUGGCAUUCAUAUUUUUCUGUUGCUGAUUGAGUUAAUGAUUUUCUGCUAAUGCAUCUUCAGAUACCAAUGCUGAUACACGAGUUCAGGACAGAUGGGCUAACUGCUUGGUUUGAAUCUUGAAAAUGAAGUAUCAAGAUUGAAAACAACAUGAAAGUGCUUAAUUUUUGUAUGCCUAAAUAUAUCACUGAAAACAGGUAAGGGGGUGAUCUUUCUGAAGCAGCAGUGGGGAGCUUGUGAUCUGAGUGAUCACCUGUGAGUUACGGUUCACAGGCUUUAUGUCUAGUUUUGCAACUGACACCUGAAUAAACUUGGCUACAUCAUUAGCCUCUUUUUACACAAAUCAUCCUUUAAGUGACACUAAUCUUUACAGUCUUCACAUGGUUCCUUCCUGAAACUUAAUUCAUUAAUGUUCAUGAAAUAUAAUGAGACACUCAGACAAAAUGUAUGAGGUAUGUGAAGACUAUAUACGGGUUGCUGUACCAUAGCAAUUCUGCAGGGGCCUUUUAAAAAAGAAACAAACUCCUGUAUUUCACAUACUAUUUUGGUUCCUGAAACACUCCCAGGCCAACUGAGGUAAGAGCAAACCUCAGGUUUGUUUACAUUUAUGCACAGGCACCUACAGAUAGAUACAUGCACAGGAAGUAACAGUCAUAAGUACGAUCGUGCUAAUUUUCCCCAUUAAGAGAGGAAGAUGAAAAGGGACAGAAUGGUGCUUGGCAAUGCAGGAAUGCUUACUCUUGACUUUUAUUUCAUUCCAGAACAGUUCAUCAGUGCAAACACUUCACCCUUGCACUUCAAGCAAGGUCACUGAGACACUCAGUGAUGUGUUGAACAAGACCAACUCAAGCUAUCAUCAGUUGAGGCAGCUUUACUUUAUGUGUAAAGUAGAACAUGGAGUGUAUCCAGAUGUUCAAUUACCUAUGAGAGUACUCAAGGAAACACAGGUAUGUUGUAUGCCAGUACUGAAUCAGUUUAAUUGAAAAAAUAAUAUGUGAUGUGUACAGUAAGGGAAUUUUAAAUGAACUCCCUAGCAUAUUCAUGGUUAAAUACAACGGUUUCGCUUUCUAAUAGGAUAUAACACAGUGUUACUAAAUGAUUCCUACUAAAAAAACAAUGAACUUAAUACUCAUAUCAGAGCAUUGCAGGGAGCCAGGCACAUAUCACAGAUUAUACUGGAGAGGACAGCAGGCUGCACUGUCACCCACCAAAGCCCCAUCUCCAGUCAUUUUGUUCUUUUGGUGAUGGUGAAGUUCUUAUGCCCAUGGAAACGUGCCACUAGCAAGAACAACCUGAUUUUAGGCAGUGACUUGUCAUGUCUGAUUGAUGCUUAGGACUAGCAGGCGUUACAUGGCAGUAAAAAUCUCUGCUGUGCUAAGCACACAUAUGCAUAUAUAGGCACAGUGGAAGCUUAUCUCAAAGCUCCUGGAACUACUGUCACUGCCUUUAUUGUUCUGCUUACAUAGCACAGAGCUGCACUGAUAAAGAUCCAGGUAGGACAGAUGUAAAAUUGACAGAUGAAGUAUUUUCUCUAAUAAUCUGGACCUAAAUGUUAAAAUUUCCUCCACAUUUAUCAGUCUUCUAGCACAUACUGGCAAUAGGCUCCCUCAUCCUUCUAAAUGGUCAUAAAUAGCUCUCAGGUUCACUGCAUACCAGUCUUUGUGCAUUGGUGUUAUUGAUAGUAGGGCUGCCAUCAGCUGGUUUUGAACCCCUAAAAUUUCAGCCUGGAGAGGUGUCUGCUGUAGUUAAGGAAGUUCCUAAACUGCGGAAAGCUUGAGAGGUUAUAGGAGAAGGAACAUUAUCAGAUAUUUGUCCUGUUUUUAAUGCUUUUCCCCAAACAUACCCUACUAAUUCCUCAGAGGGAGUUUGGGCUAGAUAAUUCUUAUCUCUGGCUAAAGAAGUUUUUUUUGUAUGGACUUCUUUUAUUCAUAGUUAUUGAAUCACCCUUUAGCCCUGAUUCUAUAAAAAGCCAACCCUAGCCACCAUCCCCCAAGUAAUAACAGUGCAGGCA